rnacentral:miRNA from 1 species
CGACACCUGUUGGAGUGCACUA